CCCUACGGGGGGCAGCAGUGGGGAGUAUUGCACAAUGGGGGGAACCCUGAUGCAGCGACGCCGCGUGGGCGAUGAAGUAUUUCGGCGUGUAAAGCUCUAUCAGCAGGGAAGAAAAUGACGGUACCUGACGAAGAAGCCCUGGCUAACUACGUGCCAGCAGCCGCGGUAAUACGUAGGGGGCAAGCGUUAUCCGGAUUUACUGGGUGUAAAGGGGGCGCAGACGGUGAUGCAAGCCAGAUGUGAAAGCCCGGGGCUCAACCCCGGGACUGCAUUUGGAACUGCGAGGCUGGAGUGCCGGAGGGGCG
rnacentral:rRNA from 1 species